GACGACCGCUGGCGGCGUGCUUAACACAUGCAAGUCGAACGAAGUGGCGAACGGGUUAGUAAUACGUGGGUAACCUGCCCUCCUUUUUGGGAUAAGCCUUGGAAACGGGGUCUAAUACCAAAUAAAGGGGGAUGGGCUCGGGGCCUAUCAGCUUGUUGGGGGGGUGCUGGCCUACCAAGGCGGUGACGGGUAGCCGGCAUGAGAGGGUGACCGGACACAUGGGGACGUAGAUACGGCCCAGACACCCACCGGAGGCGGCAGUGGGGGAUAGUGCACAAUGGGCGAAAGCCUGAUGCGGCUAUGUCGCGUGGGGGAUGAAGGCUUUCGGGUUGUAAACCUCGUUGGAUAUCGAAAGGGUAGGCGGAGAAGAAGCGCCGGCUAACUACGUGCCAGCCGCCGCGGUAAUAC
rnacentral:rRNA from 1 species